GAGAAAACAAGCUGCACAACUUUAAGCCAGGUUUACAUCGUUGGGGAGUUUGUUGAGCCAUAAUCUUCUUACAAAUUAAAAGAGGAAAAAACGGUCUUCAGUUAAAGACACAAAGACAAAGUGAUGCGUCCUGUCGUUCCUGGAACCAUCUCCUCUUAUGUUUAGCUCGCUGCAUAGGUUGAAUAGCCAUACAUUCAACUGAGGGCAGCAGAGAGGAGGGGGCACACACGAGACAAGGUCGGCGUGCAGACAGAAGAGGAUUUGCAGCUGUGUGGAAACACAUGGCUACUUGCGUUGUUACCUUAGACUGAUUUUGAUCACUGAUAUCAGUUAGAUGCUCUUUGUAUUUAUCCACAGGUUGAGUGGUAUUGAGUGGUAUUCACUGUCCUUGAUGUCAAAUAUCUGGACAUGGCAAAAUAGAACAGCACAAAGGAGUGUGUUUGUUAUGUUUGGUGAUGCAUGUGUAUCUUCAUCCCUAACAAUACUGAUGAUUCUUUUACAGAAACACCAACUACAGAAUGCCCAAAAAAGUAAAACUGUUUCUGAAAAGAUAAAGCAAGAAAUGUUAUUUAAAGAAAAAAAGGUCAAAACAAGGUCAAAGACAGGAGAAAUCAGAGAGGAGAAUUUCAUUUUUUACUUCUAAACAUUAUGGAUGCAGCCCGUAUAAAGGGGAUGAUCUGAUUGUUAGGGUUUUCUCUCUAAGCCCACAGGAUGUUUACCGAUUUGGUUAUUUGGAACUAUAUAAAUAUAUCUGAAUUAACCUAAAAAGUAUGUUAUAGAACAGGGUGAGUGCACUGAAGGCCCACCAGGAGCCACACUGUUUCUGCUGUGGUGUCCAUGAGCUGAUGUUGGAUGGCAUGUGAUCAGUUGGUUAGCUGAGCUGUAUGCUAGAUUAAGACUACCAGACUUCACACACUACCUAAAAAUUCUUUCUUGCUUGCUUACACUUCAUUACUUUGUUCCUAUACGUUUACAUUCGCCAGUCAAAUCAUGUUUCACUUUUACAUCUUUAUUUUUUUUGUGCUUUUGAUGAAUGAGUCAGAGACAGCCUUUCAAAAGCCACAAAAAACUUAAAAUAAAAACAGUAAAACUGCGAAUGGAAACAUUAGGCAAGAAAUAUAACUUUAAAAAAAAGUUCAAACACAGAGGAAACCAGAAAGGAGACAUUUCUCUACAAAAUGAAGUUUCCACUUCUGAAACUUCUUGCCCACAGCUGUUAUUUUUCACCUGAGGUUUGCAAGCCAAAUGUCAACG